rnacentral:rRNA from 1 species
AGUGAACGCUGGCGGUAGGCCUAACACAUGCAAGUCGAACGGCAGCACAGUAAGAGCUUGCUCUUACGGGUGGCGAGUGGCGGACGGGUGAGGAAUACAUCGGAAUCUACUUUUUCGUGGGGGAUAACGUAGGGAAACUUACGCUAAUACCGCAUACGACCUACGGGUGAAAGCAGGGGAUCUUCGGACCUUGCGCGAUUGAAUGAGCCGAUGUCGGAUUAGCGAGUUGGCGGGGUAAAGGCCCACCAAGGCGACGAUCCGUAGCUGGUGUGAGAGGAGGAUCAGGCACACUGGAACUGAGAGACGGUCCAGACUCCUACGGGAGGCAGAAGUGGGGAAUAGUGGACAAUGGGCGCAAGCCUGAUCCAGCCAUACCGCGUGGGUGCAGAAGGCCUUCGGGUUGUAAAGCCCUUUUGUUGGGAAAGAAAAGCAGCAGGUUAAUACCCCGCUGUUCUGACGGUACCCAAAGAAUAAGCACCGGCUAACUUCGUG